UGGGGAAUUUUCCGCAAUGGGCGCAAGCCUGACGGAGCAACGCCGCGUGAGGGAGGAAUGUCUGUGGAUUGUAAACCUCUUUUCUCUGGGAAGGAGAUCUGACGGUACCAGAGGAAUCAGCAUCGGCUAACUCCGUGCCAGCAGCCGCGGUAAGACGGAGGAUGCAAGCGUUAUCCGGAAUUAUUGGGCGUAAAGCGUCCGUAGGCGGCUUAAUAAGUCAGUUGUUAAAGACUGGGGCUUAACCCUGGGAGUGCAACUGAAACUGUUAGGCUUGAGCGUGGUAGGGGUAGAGGGAAUUCCUAGUGUAGCGGUGAAAUGCGUAGAUAUUAGGAAGAACACCAGUGGCGAAGGCGCUCUACUGGGCCAUGACUGACGCUGAUGGACGAAAGCUAGGGGAGCGAAAGGGAUUAGAUACCCCUGUAGUCC
rnacentral:rRNA from 1 species